rnacentral:rRNA from 1 species
UACGGGGGGGGCAAGCGUUGUUCGGAAUUACUGGGCGUAAAGGGCUCGUAGGCGGCCAACUAAGUCGGAUGUGAAAUCCCCAAGCUUAACUUGGGAACUGCAUCUGAUACUGGAUGGCUUGAAUCCGGGAGAGGGAUGCAGAAUUCCAGGUGUAGCGGUGAAAUGCGUAGAUAUUGGGAGGAACACCGGUGGCGAAGGCGGCUACCUGGACCGGUACUGACGCUGAGGCGCGAAAGCGUGGGUAGCAAACAGG